ensembl:lncRNA
UGCAUCCUUGCUAAAUAAAUGUAUUAAUUACUAAAAGAAAAUUCUCACCCCAAAAAUUUGAACUGUAGUGUAUGUCACCAUUGUUUCUUUCAUAAAGGAGAACUUAAUUACCUAUGUGGAUUGUGGAGGUCUGGCCAACCUUCAGGUCCUCCUUCUGGGCAGGAACCAACUGAUGAACAUCCAUGGUCUUGAUGGAGCUGAAAACCGGCAAAUUCUCCAGCUCUCAAACAACAACAUCUCUCGCAUAAGUGGUUUAGGACCCCUGAAAAUGCUUCUGUGAUUAUCAGUGGACCAUAACCAGUUGCUCAGCGCGAGAGGUUUAAACAAAAUUUAUACCCUUCUCCAUCUGGACUGUUCGUACAACCAUCUAAGCCAUGAUGAGGGUUUGGAGAAUUGUGCUCUGCUUUACACACUGGACCUCAGAGGAAACAGUCUGACUGAGGUUAAUCUUACACAACCAAAGAAACAAACAAGUUGAAAGAUGAGAUCAUGACUUAUCAUUUCUUCAGCAGUAAUCUCAAGGUCAUAUUGAAUAAUCACAAUUUUCCAUUAUUUUGAUGAUUUGUCAGUAUUCGAGAACUGUUUAUGUUCUUCUUCUAAUUAGCCGACUGAAAUCAUAGACUUUUCACCACUUUUUAUUUAUUUAUUUAGGAACAUCCCAUUUCUAUCCCAGUGUCCAGAAAAUGCGUAACUUGACAGUGCUCAUUACAUGAUACCAAAAAAAAAUGCUCAUCUGUUAGACUGCAAUCUUGGGCUGCUAUCAAUUUAAUUGAAUUAUCGCUAUCUGUUGUGCUUAAUGUUUGGAUAUUAGUCAUGUUCAUGAUGCGGCAUGAGUUUCCACCCAUUUCAGCUCAUGGGACAUUCAUGUUUGGAACAGAAAGAAUGACUUCCUGUGUGAUGACCUGGUCAAGAGGGAAUUGUUGUUGUUUUUAUUUCCGGGCCUGUGGCAUAGCUGCCUGUCCUGCAGAACCACGUUCUUCUGAGGGACUUGUACUUGGAUGACAAUCUUCUAUCUUCUGUUGAUGAUCUGGAAUCCUAUUGGCUGCCUUUGCUCCAUGUCCCAUAACAGUGUAACUUAUUUAAUUCCACUCUUGGACCUGGUGUCUCUGAGGAUGCUGGAUGCCAGUCACAACUGUCUGUCAGCACACGUAACUAUUAUUAAACUUCAGAUGACCUCAGAAGAUGACUAUAGUAUUUGCAGAACGUGUGUCUGAAUCUUCAGGAAUGCACCAGUCUUCAAGAACUUAACCUGACUGGAAACCCAGUACAGCAGGAAAGCAACUGGAGGUAGGUGUGACCCAAGGACCCAGUUUAGGGCCUAUUACAUUGACAGUUAAGUUCAUUUUUCAGUUUCUAACUGGCACUAAGCUAAAU